rnacentral:rRNA from 1 species
GGCGGCAGGCCUAACACAUGCAAGUCGAACGAGACCUUCGGGUCUAGUGGCGGACGGGUUAGUAACGCGUGGGAACGUGCCUUUCACUACGGAAUAGUCCCGGGAAACUGGGUUUAAUACCGUAUACGCCCUUCGGGGGAAAGAAUUUCGGUGAAAGAUCGGCCCGCGUUAGAUUAGGUAGUUGGUGGGGUAAUGGCCUACCAAGCCUACGAUCUAUAGCUGGUUUUAGAGGAUGAUCAGCAACACUGGGACUGAGACACGGCCCAGACUCCUACGGGAGGCAGCAGUGGGGAAUCUUGGACAAUGGGCGCAAGCCUGAUCCAGCCAUGCCGCGUGAGUGAUGAAGGCCUUAGGGUCGUAAAGCUCUUUCGCCAGGGAUGAUAAUGACAGUACCUGGUAAAGAAACCCCGGCUAACUCCGUGCCAGCAGCCGCGGUAAUACGGAGGGGGUUAGCGUUGUUCGGAAUUACUGGGCGUAAAGCGCACGUAGGCGGAUUGGAAAGUUGGGGGUGAAAUCCCAGGGCUCAACCCUGGAACUGCCUCCAAAACUACCAGUCUAGAGUUCGAGAGAGGUGAGUGGAAUUCCGAGUGUAGAGGUGAAAUUCGUAGAUAUUCGGAGGAACACCAGUGGCGAAGGCGGCUCACUGGCUCGAUACUGACGCUGAGGUGCGAAAGUGUGGGGAGCAAACAGGAUUAGAUACCCUGGUAGUCCACACCGUAAACGAUGAAUGCCAGUCGUCGGAUAGCAUGCUAUUCGGUGACACACCUAACGGAUUAAGCAUCCG